CCUACGGGGGGCUGCAGUGGGGAAUAUUGCACAAUGGGGGAAACCCUGAUGCAGCAACGCCGCGUGAGCGAUGAAGGCCUUCGGGUCGUAAAGCUCUGUCCUAAGGGAAGAAUACUGACGGUACCUUAGGAGGAAGCCCCUGCUAACUACGUGCCAGCAGUCGCGGUAAUACGUAGGGGGCUAGCGUUAUCCGGAAUUACUGGGCGUUAAGGGUGCGUAGGCGGCCCUUCAAGUCAGAGGUGAAAGGCUACGGCUCAACCGUAGUAAGCCUUUGAAAAUGUAGGGCUUGAGUGCAGGAGAGGAGGAUGGAAUUCCCCGUGUAGCGGUGAUAUGCGUAUAUAUUGGGAGGAACACCAGUUGCGAAGGCGGCUCUCUGGCCUGUAACCGACGCGGAGGCACGAAAGCGUUGGGAGCCAACAUGAUUAGAUACCCGGGUAGUC
rnacentral:rRNA from 1 species